AGUUGAAUUAUCAUAAGAUGGAAUAUUUUUAAUAAAGAAUAUAAACCAGGAAAGCAUGAUUUUAUAAAAGAGAUUUGUUUCUAUCUUUGGCUGGAACGAGUGCGGCCAGACUUGAGUCUAGUACAUUCUUAAAUUUCCAGCUUGUCUGGAUAAUUAAUUUGACGACGUAAAUUAGUAAAAGAAUUAGGUUGUAGCUCCAGCGUUUGGGGAGAAUGCUAUACUUGAGAGUUCUUCCUGAUGCGACAAUAGGGAUUCCAUUGAAAUAGAUAAUUAGUCAUUAUGACCUAGUUUAUAGGUAUUUAGAUACAAUUAUUUUAUUUCUCAAUUAAAAUAGAAAUACAGUGGGGUUGUGUUAUAUUUGUACAUUAUUUGAUUAUUUUGUAGAUUUUUAUGUAUAAUGUGUCAAUAUAUUUCGAGAUAUCCCAGAAGAGCAGGGAAUAAUAAUAAAUUCAGAAAAUUGAUUUUUCUGUUUAAGAUAAAUAAUAUGUCUCUGUCGAAUAUGAAGCAGUUUGGUAAGUAAGGUCGGAAGUUAAACGUGCCAGUUCUAUGACGCCGGUAAGUUAUAUGAGUCACCCGUCCGGGCUGAAAUUUAUUUAAAGUUUUUCUGUACAAAAACAAUUUGUCCGCUCAUAUUUUAAACGGCUCAAGGAAAUAUAUUUAAAAUGAUUUUUAAUUUUUAAAAGUUGUUUAAGUUUUAUAUGAUUAAAAUAGUAGUAAUGAGAAUAUCGUAACAAGAGCUUCUGUAAAGUUAUUUGUUUAAUUUUAAAAAUUAUUUAGUGGACUUCACAUUUUAUUAAAUAUUGUUAAAGGGUUAACUAUCGAUUAAAUUUCGAAUGUUAAUUGAAUUAGGAUGAUUUUUAAAUAUUAGAUAUUAAAUCUCGAAUAGGGGGUUUGAUAAUGAAUUUAAGAUGUUAUUUAAAUGUGGUUAUUUUAUAUAUGUUUUAAAUUCGAUUUAAUUUAAAUAAAGAACUUUUUGGUCUAUGGUAUUCUUAGCUUUUAAAGUAAUGUUUAUAUAAUAAUAAUUAUUAAUAAGGUGUAAUUGAUGAUAUUAUAUAAUCGAGAAGAAUUAAGCCCUUAUUAUUUAAGUAUAAUAAUUAAAUUAUUUGGGACUAUGUGUUCCAUGUUGUAAGUUAGACGAAAGAUGAUUUUAUUAAAAGUAAUAUAAAGUUAUAAGGGGAAGCCAUGAUUAAUUGAUAAUAAUGUUUUCAAAUAAGUGUAUAAAUAUGAUUUUGUUAUUUAAGAAAUUUUAAUGAAAGAAUUUUAUAAAAUUUGUUUUUGUUGAAAAAAUAAUUUAAAUGGGAA
rnacentral:rRNA from 1 species